GCGGGCACGGCCGCCGCCGCCCCCCGCCCCGCCGGGCGCCGCGGCCCUGUCGCAGCCGCCCGCUCGGACGGUGCUGCCUCACACCGGAGCUCUCGGGGGCCUGCGUGAGGAGCGGGGCUAAGGGUGCCCUCGCCGGUGGUGUUCUCUCAGUCACAGCAUCCGCGGGCAUGCCCUGGAUAGGGAGUGAGGCAAUGGGAUGCCCCCUCUAGUGAUGCUCACCCGGCUCCCGGCAUCGCCAGGAUGCUCUGGAUCGGGAGGAAGGCAAUGGGGUUUCCUCUAAGUUGUUUUUUCAUUCUUAGCAUCCUCAUAGUGCCUUGAACAGGGAAAUGAGCUAUUGGAUCCUCUCUCAAGUGAUGCUCUCCCAGCCCUCACUUCCCUAGGAUGCCCUGAAGAGGUAGCAGCACACUUCUAUUGAUGCUCUCUGCCUUCCCAGCAUCUCCUUUGCCCUUUUUCUCUCAGCUGGAGUUCCUGGGAAGAGUGUUGGAGGGAGCUGGCACAGGUCCAAGCACAUUUCCACUCUGAGUCCUACCUGGGUGGUGUCAGGGUCACCUGAGCAGUGCAGGUGCUCCCAUGGCUCAGGUACAGUGCCCCACCAGUAACCCCAGAGCGGGAGCACUGUGUGUCCGCUGGGUUAUUGCUCCAGAGAACUCUAUUCUUUGGCUGAUAACAGCCUCAGGAAGUACAGGCAGUGCGUCAGGAAUGCAGCCCAUUUCUGGGAAGUUGUAAAAAGGGGGAUGGCUGCCUUGGUGGGACAUACACUGUUCUUUUCCCAGCUCAAGAUAAGCACUGAACAGGUGCAAGGUGCUGGUACAAGAGUCCUGAGAACUGCUGGGUUUCUCAGCCAGGAUAACCCCUCCAGAGAUGCUCAUCUGAAUUCCCAGAAGGGUGAUGUCUCAGCCAUGGAAAUCCAUCCAGGCAGGCUCUGGGCUCUCACCUGGGCAGGGUGAGGCAGUGGGCAUGGGAAGCAUGAAUUGCUUUCUUCCUGCCCUCUCUCUGUGCACUCAUUGAGGAGCUGAUUUGUGUCCUGCUGAUGUUUCACUUGGAGCAAACAUGUCUGAAAGGUGAGGGGUGUUGAUCCUUAAUGGCUCUGCAGCCCAAGGAGCCCAAUCCAUGGCAAUGAAUACCUUUGACACGCCAGUGCAGAAUGGGCAUGAGAACGCAAACACUGUAAUUUCACUCAGUUUCCCCAUUUUGCUAGCUGUAGGCCAUCCAGUUCCCCCAACCUUGAUUUCUCUGAUCUGUGCAGACCACGGAGCGAGGCUAAAUCCCCUGCCAGGUGUGUGCCUGUACAUCACCAAAGCGGGCAGUAGCCAUGGGCUGAGACCUCCCAGGCUCUGAUGUGUCACUGAUCAGAUUGUAGUGACUCACAGAUGACAGUCCCAGGGAUAUCUUGUGCCCUGUCCCACCGAGCCACCCACUCCUGCUGCCCAGCUGCCUCCCUUGGCUUCGUGUGUGGCGUUUCCUGGGCGGCUCGAGCUGACAGUGUGGCAGAAAGGUGGCACCACGGUGGCCAGCGGUGGGAUGUUGUGUCUCCUGUCCCUGACAGAUGGCAAACGGGUUGUCCUCUAGUGAUCCUCGAGUGACAGAGCCCAGCCCUGCUGUUCUGACACUGACUCAGCUGUGAGGACACAUCUCCAAGGUGACUCUGCUCCGGAGCAAGGAUGUAUCGCGUAAAUUUGCUGACAUUCAAGGAUGGGUGCUGUUUCCUGUUGUUUGGGUCUGGAGAAAGUUUUCCUAAACAGAGUCUGCUGAUGUUUUCAGCCUUGUACAGUCAAUGGCAUCACUGCUGAGGUCCCUCUGUGUGGCUCUACCAAUGGUGACUACACUCAGCACAUAUGCAAUCUUACCUUCCCCAAAGAGAGGUACAGGAGUUCAGAAGAAUUUAGCCUGCUCCAGGGUGAUGUUUGAAAGCAGCAGAGCAGCUCCUAACCUGAUUAAUGCAUCCUGAGCAUGGACAAGGACAGCCAGGAUGUUCACCAGGUACUGAAUGAGCUCAAGAACAAGUUCCAGGAGAUGAGGAAGCUGAUCAGCUCCAUGCCUGGCAUCGGGGUGAGCCCAGAGCAGCAGCAGCAGCAGCUGCAGAACCUGCGGGAGCA